rnacentral:rRNA from 1 species
AACGCGAAGAACCUUACCUGGGCUCGAAAUGCUAUGGACCAGCUGGUGAAAGCCGGCCUUCCCGCAAGGGACCGUAGUAUAGGUGCUGCAUGGCUGUCGUCAGCUCGUGUCGUGAGAUGUUGGGUUAAGUCCCGCAACGAGCGCAACCCUUGUUUGCUGUUGCCAUCAGGUUAUGCUGGGCACUCUGCAAAGACCGCCGGUGAUAAACCGGAGGAAGGUGGGGAUGACGUCAAGUCCUCAUGGCCUUUAUGUCCAGGGCUACACACGUGCUACAAUGGCCGGUACAAACCGUCGCAAACCCGUGAGGGGGAGCUAAUCGGAAAAAGCCGGCCUCAGUUCGGAUUGGAGUCUGCAACUCGACUCCAUGAAGCUGGAAUCGCUAGUAAUCGCGGAUCAGAAUGCCGCGGUGAAUACGUUCCCGGGCCUUGUACACACCGACGCGUA